UAUAAAACCUAAAAUUAAAAUGUACAGAUGCACUAAUAUAUUCUAAAUGGGGAAUGACUUUUUCCAAAGCUGUAGCCUGAAAGGAAGUCAGAGAAGUAUCCAAGUGAAAAUUGAAUUCUCAUGUCUGUAUAUGCAAAUUGGAUCCUUACGUAGUCCAAAUUGUGCUGGGUUCCCACACCGGAUGUUGGUGGAUUUUCCUUGGCUACUGAAAGCCAACUUCUUGGCCUGACUUCAAAGCUGAUGGAAGUCUCUAGAAGCCCCAUUUGUUUUGCCUACUAAAAUUGUUGUGUUUUGGAGAAUGGACUUGCAGCCUAGGAUUCAUGAGCUGACACCUCUCAGCAUUUGAAAAGACCCCACAAGGGAACCAUUGGCACUCAAAUAAGGGUGGUUUACAAAGUUAUUUUCAUACAAUCUAUCAUUUUAUUACAGAAGUGACUUUCCUUCCAGGCCCUUGAACACAAAAAAGAACAUGCUGUUUCAAAGGCCAAAUAGAAUUCAGAAUCGAGCGUCAGUCAGUCAAACUGCUCAUUACCCACUUUAGGGCCAUGCUAAUCUUCUUCUUACCCAUUCUCUUCACCUAUGAUUAGUCUAGGGAUAAGGAAGUGACCUAGUUAUGACCAGUGAGAUUUGUGUGCCCUGAACUAAAGGAUCUGAAUUCCAAAGUUCAUUCCAAAGUUCAGUCUGGAGUUGUCUCUUAUGGAGCAAGUCUGUUAUGGGGACCUUCCUUCCAUCUCAGGACACUGAGAUAAGGUUGUGAUGCUGUAGCAAUAACAGCUACUUCAUGACCAUGAGGUAACAAAUAACAGAAUGAAAAUGCAGCGUGACAAGAGUGGUGGAGACACAGGAUAAGACGAUGCUUAGUCCUUAGUGAAGUCCCAGAGCUGCUGGACCAGCUCCAGAAUGACUUGCUCUCAAACUUCUUCUUCCAUGUCCUUAUCAAUUAAUCCACUAUUAUAUAUUCAAUUACUGGCAGAAAGUGCUCUUCUCCUUGAAAUGUCCUCUCCUCUGUACUGUGACUUUAGCCAAGUCAUUCAAUCAUUCAUGUCCUUCAUCUAUAAAGUGGUGAUAACGUUAUCUUUCCUGGGCUGUCUCUGUGACUAUUUCCUGAGGUUAUGUAUAAAACAUGGCUUUCUCAACUCCAGGCACAGUGAGAGGUAGUUAUUAAAAUAAUCACCCCUCAAUAAUGGACUUGCGGGUGGUGGCGAUUCCAGGCAAUUUGUGCUCAUGGAAUAAAUAGGUGUAACUCGGACACAAAUCACAACCCCUGUAUUAAUUAUGGCCUGACAUGAAUUGCCAGAUUUAAUCCUCAGAACAGCUUUGUGAUGAGUACAGUGUCCCCACCCAGAACAGAGAAGAUGAAAUGCUGACCUUGGAUUAGGCCCACUUAGGGGUAGAGACAGAGUUCUGCCCAGCAGGUUGCCCAGCGCCUCUGCUCUCUGCCCACGUUGUGGGACAGAUACGUUCCAGGCCCAGCUCAUGGGCUUUUGUGGCUGAUGCUCAUUUUCCAGAAAUGCAGUUGAAUGGAACAUGCCUAGACGCGGAAACCACGUCCCCCUUCAGACACCAACCCCAGACUCUCCUUGGUCUAAAGCCAGACUGGGAUCAGAAACCAGCAGCCGGUGGCAGCAGCUUCCCCCAAGCACAUCCAGUGUUUUUAUCUUUGAAUGUCUUCAGAUGGGACAUUCCUUGGCUGUAGUCCUGACCACACCUUUUCUCUCUAUCUGGUCCAUGCACAGGGACACCUCUGCCUUGCCUACUGAGGCCUUUUGAGUCCUAACACCUGAGCUUAGUCCUUCCUUUCCAAAGGGAAAAUACCACAAAUCAUGUCGAUAUUUUAAGAAAUGCGAGGCACGGGCAGACUACUCUGAUUCCCUUGCCAAAUUCCAACAGCUCUGCAUGUUGAUUCGUUGAUUGGCAGCUCUCUGCCUUGGUUGAGAUAAUACAAAGAUUAAAAUUCUCUAUUUGGAAAAAUUGGCUCACUGCAAACCAGUGGCGUGUACUACGUGAAGGAAGGGGAGGUAGCUUGUCCAUAAGCAUUCAGUAUUUUGGAGACAACUCCAUCUCCCUCCCCGACCCCGACACUGAGAACAAGGCUCUGAGCAGUCUGAUGUCUGGCUCCGCAGGGACAAACGCAGAGAGGCCCCUGGCUCGGCAGUGCGUCUGUUGGAGACAGGGGAUGGAACACCUGGGAUGAAAGGGCCCAGAGAGUCAAUAUUUUAGGAUUGGCGGGCCAUUUUUUGUCUGCAUCCAAUAUUUUCAUCUUUUAAUAGUUGUUUACAACCCUUUAGACACGUACAAACCAUCCUUAGCUCAGGGGCCAAGUAAAACAGGCACAGGGCUGGGUGGGUGGUCCUUUGCCAGCUCUUGCCUGGAAAACCGAGGGAAGGAAAAAUGCCUCCCGGCCAGUGGACUCCGUCCUGCUGCAGGGACCAUUAUAGUCGCAGAAACUGUCCCAGAUGUGACUGGGGCCACAGAAAUGGCAUGUGACCGUGCAAAAGCACAAGUUGGGGCCCGUGUGCUAGUACAUGGGAGAGUUCGUGCGAGCCCACCGCUGGCCACCCUUCUCCCCAGUAGGUGGUCAGAGGACGUUAGCCCACGAGCACUCCGCAGGCGCCAUCACCAACACAGCCGUAGCUCUGUGGUCAAGUUCAUUUUUCUCCUGGAAGCCCCAACUCCAGUCGAGUACCAAUGCAAGUGACUGGAGAGGUGGGAAAUGAGUUCUUGAGGAGGUGGAGUCCAGUAAACCAAGUGGCUUCUCUGCCUUCCUGCAAGGAGGACAGUUUCCCCACAGUUGCUAGGGACAAAGGCUGUGGAAUGGCAGGUGUCACAGCCACUGCCUCUAGGGUGGGACUCGAGGAAGUGAUGAUUCUUGAUUUCUGCACAGGCCAGGUGUGAUUUGCCAUUGUAGCAGACCAAAGA
rnacentral:lncRNA from 1 species